rnacentral:rRNA from 1 species
AACGUAGGGGACAAGCGUUAUCCGGAUUUACUGGGCGUAAAGCGCCCGUAGGCGGCCUGACAAGUUGGACGUGAAAGCUCCUGGCUUAACUGGGAGAGGCCGUUCAAAACUGUCAAGCUAGAGUCUGGAAGAGGAGAGCGGAAUUUCCGGUGUAGUGGUGGAAUGCGUUAGAGAUCGGGAGGAACACCAGUGGCGAAAGCGGCUCUCUGGUCCAAAACUGACGCUGAGGGGCGAAAGCGUGGGGAGCGAACGGG